GAACCGGGGGCCAACCCCGACCACCCCUCCCCACCCCACCCCGGCUGUCUCCACCCGCUGCCCCUCCCCGUGCCACCCCCAUCCCCAUCCCCAUCCCCAUCCCCAUCCCCUACAACUGGGGUGGGGUGGGGCGACCCCAUAAGGGACACCAAGACCCUCAGCACCCUCCCCGCGACCGCAGGGCGACUGGGGGAGUCCCGUAGCCCCCCGACGCGCUGCAGGGCUCCCCCUUUUCCCCCCUCCUCCCCUCUCUCCCCUCUUAGGGCGGCGCUGCGGGAUGCUGCCCACCCCCUCCCGCCCCGUCGGCGUGGCCUUAAAUCGGCUCCGCCAAGCCCUCCCGGCUUGCUGCCGGCCGCGGUGGUGGCAGCAGCGGCGGUGUCGGGCGAUGCCCCCCGGCAGCAGCACCCCCCCGGCACCGCCGUGCGCCCCCGGCGACCCCCGGCCAGGCUGCGCGGCCGCCAGCUCCCCCCCCCUGCAGCUAGCGAGGCUGGGGAGAAGCAGCUGGUUCCUCAGCAUCUCCCUCGGCAGGCCUGCCGGGGGGCGAUUUCCACGCACGCCUGGGGGAAAAGGGGUGCUCUGGGCAGCGCCGAGCAUCCCCGUAGCAGAGCGGCGAUGACUGGCAAUAAAUACCCGGCCGGCAACUUGAGGCUCGCAGGGGCUCCGCGAGUGAGCCGGGGAGCACGAGCGAUGCAGCCUCUGCAGGUGCUUUCGGCGCCUUCCCUGUGCUCAGAGGAGGCCUCCUGGUGCAGAGCACGUAUGCUGAGCACAGCAGGGUACGCACGCAGGUCUGGUCCCCUGAUGCUGCUCGGGUUCAAAUCUCCUCCGGUGAGAAAGGUGAGGCUGGGUGCACAGCAGCAGCAGGACGGGGUCCUGGCAGCAGGGAGGUCACCACUGCUCCAAAACAAGAUACUGGAGGGGAUGCUGGGGAGAUGAGCCUCAGCUAACAGGGAGGGGGGCACCGGUGGGGCCGGGUAUCACAUCUGUCUGCAUGCCACCGAGCCCCCUCCUUCCAUACCUCGAAGCAGGAUGGCUCUUGCUCACCCCCCGGUUUCCUGGAAGCUCUCUGCUGGCAGGGCACACGCUGUACGGCUGAGCACACGCUGUGUCCUGGCACGAGGCUGAGAUUUAUUUAUUUUUCCACCCCCCCUUUCCCUCCCGGGAGCUGCUUCAGUAUCACUUGCAGGGCACUUGAGUUGCGCUGAGUUCGGGCUCCGCAGGGCAGCCCGUG
rnacentral:lncRNA from 1 species